CAAAGCGAUCCUGGCUUCACAUAUCGACAUCGAUCAAGGAAAGUGCUUCCAACUUUGGAUAUUUGUUUUUGGCCGCUGACCUCCAGCCACUACGGGAUCACGAGCACUACGUGAUUAUUGUUUUUUUGUUUUGUUGAUGACCUCUCCGAGGUUUUGUACCUCAACUCCCCAGUCCAAGACCCUGGCGCACUCUAGUGACCCCACCACCAGUACAUCCCACCACCGCCCUUGCUUCCCGAUGUGGUACAGAUUUUAGUCCCUUCUCAACUGGCCCAAGACUUGAAGAACCAGCAUAAUCAUAGCUCACUUGUGGAUGGCCUGCCCCGUUUCAGCUGCAUCGACCCGUUCAUGCAUAUGCGAGUAUGCAAGGCAGCGACAGAACGGAUCCACGCCACGGAUCCUAUCUUGGAGCCACCAGCUACGCCAAACCAUCUCCAGCCUAGCUUUCCCUCUCUGCCUAGAACACAGAAUGAAACUCUCACCAAGGACUAUAUUCAGGGACCAUUUUGAAAACACCACAAAAUACCCUCAAUUCACGCGAU
rnacentral:sRNA from 1 species